AGAUGAAAAAACCAUCUCAGAAUGUGGCAUACGGUGCAAAUCAAAAAUCAAUCUUAUUGUCAUGAAAAAUGUUACCGACUCCUCUUCUAAAUACACCAGCGAAGAUUUUUGGAAGACACUUGAAGCUGUUCUACUAAAAUAUCACAGCCAUAGCGUUGCACAAAAUAUAAUAUCACAAUUUGAAAAGGAUUAUAAGCAUCUUAUUGCAACAAUGAGUUUGGAUGAUAUUGAGCGAAUCGCUUCCAGAAGUUUAAAACUGUAACAAACUUUUUUUUUUGAUUUAGCAAUCAAGUUUUGUUGCUAUUUGUUUUGCAAUUUUUAAUAUUGUAUUUUCUGUUAUUACGAGUUCCAAUAAAUUUUUUAAUAACG
rnacentral:lncRNA from 1 species